GCUAGCAAUGCACGCCCGUGGUUCAGCCGGCUAGUCUUGUGAGUAGUCGUGUGACGGAUCCGAACGGACCGUCGGCGGCGACUUCGCCGGGCGAGCUGUGGUGCACUCCAUGGACGUGCGCGUCAGCGUCGGUUUCCGACGAGCGAUGAGGUGCGUGGGGGAAGGUAGCUCGGUUCUUCGGGACGGAGUGUUAAGACCCUGGUGCUGGGCUCGUUGUGGGACCGAGGAGAGAGAUGAUCGCUGCGGCACCUGCCUCUCGGGGCUAGCCAGCCGUUGCCAGGUGUAGGUCAGGCGCUGAGGACUGCACGCAGUGCUCGGAUGUUGAGGCGUAAUCUGGUGGUGGUGUGGGCAUAGAGGUGCCUAGGACGCUGGCGUCCAAAUGGCCGUGCGCGACCCGUCUUGAAACACGGACCAAGGAGUCUAACAUGUGCGCGAGUCUUAGGGUGUGCAAGCCCUCGGGCGGAAUGAAAGUGAAGGUUGGGCACUAGUCCAGCUGAGGUGAGAGCCGUUGCUGGCCUGACUGCUACGGCGGCGCAUCAUCGGCCGGUCCAUCCUGCUCUCAGGAGGAUCCGAGCAAGAGCGUAUCUGUUGGGACCCGAAAGAUGGUGAACUAUGCCUGAAUAGGGUGAAGCCAGAGGAAACUCUGGUGGAGGCUCGUAGGGAUUCUAACGUGCAAAUUGAUCUCAAAAUUUGGGUAUAGGGGCGAAAGACUAAUCGAACCAUCUAGUAGCUGGUUCCCUCCGAAGUUUCCCUCAGGAUAGCUGGAACUCGUCAAGACAGUUUUAUCAGGUAAAGCGAAUGAUUAGAGGUCUUGGGGGUGAAACACCCUCAACCUAUUCUCAAACUUUAAAUCGGUAAGAAGCGCGACUUGCUUAAUUGAAGCCGCGCAGCCAAUGUGAGUUCCAAGUGGGCCAUUUUUGGUAAGCAGAACUGGCGAUGCGGGAUGAACCGAACGCUCGGUUAAGGUGCCCAAGUCGACGCUCAUCAGACCCCAGAAAAGGUGUUGGUUGAUAUAGACAGCAGGACGGUGGCCAUGGAAGUCGGAAUCCGCUAAGGAGUGUGUAACAACUCACCUGCCGAAUCAACUAGCCCUGAAAAUGGAUGGCGCUCAAGCGUCGCACCUAUACCGGGCCGUCGUCGUAAAUGCCAGGCGACGACGAGUAGGAGGGCGCGGUGGUCGUGAUGCAGCCCUUGGCGUGAGCCUGGGUCAAACGGCCUCUGGUGCAGAUCUUGGUGGUAGUAGCAAAUAUUCAAAUGAGAGCUUUGAAGACCGAAGUGGAGAAAGGUUCCAUGUGAACAGCAGUUGGACAUGGGUUAGUCGAUCCUAAGAGAUAGGGGAGCUCCGUAUCAACGUGCGCAAUCGGUCUCGUGCCGCCUUGCGCCAACCUAUCGAAAGGGAAUCGGGUUAAUAUUCCCGAACCGGAAUGCGGAUAUUCUCUGGCUUUCGGGUCAGGAGCGGCAACGCUAGCGAACCGCGAGACGUCGGCGGGGGCUCCGGGAAGAGUUGUCUUUUCUUUUUAACGCAGUCGCCAUCCCUGGAAUCGGUUUGCCCGGAGAUAGGGUUGGCUGGCUCGGUAAAGCAGCACACUUCAUGUGCUGUCCGGUGCGCUCUCGACGGCCCUUGAAAAUCGCGGGGGUGUACUGAUUUUCGCAUCCGGUCGUACUCAUAACCGCAUCAGGUCUCCAAGGU
rnacentral:rRNA from 1 species